rnacentral:rRNA from 1 species
UCGAACGGCAGCACGGAGCCUUGCUCUGGUGGCGAGUGGCGAACGGGUGAGUAAUAUAUCGGAACGUACCCUAGAGUGGGGGAUAACGUAGCGAAAGUUACGCUAAUACCGCAUACGAUCUAAGGAUGAAAGUGGGGGAUCGCAAGACCUCAUGCCCGUGGAGCGGCCGAUAUCUGAUUAGCUAGUUGGUAGGGUAAAAGCCUACCAAGGCAUCGAUCAGUAGCUGGCCUGAGAGGACGACCAGCCACACUGGAACUGAGACACGGUCCAGACUCCUACGGGAGGCAGCAGUGGGGAAUUUUGGACAAUGGGCGAAAGCCUGAUCCAGCAAUGCCGCGUGAGUGAAGAAGGCCUUCGGGUUGUAAAGCUCUUUUGUCAGGGAAGAAACGGUGGGAGCUAAUAUCUCUUGCUAAUGACGGUACCUGAAGAAUAAGCACCGGCUAACUACGUGCCAGCAGCCGCGGUAAU